rnacentral:rRNA from 1 species
CGUGCCUAAUACAUGCAAGUCGAGCGGACUUAAAAAGCUUGCUUUUUAAGUUAGCGGCGGACGGGUGAGUAACACGUGGGCAACCUGCCUGUAAGACUGGGAUAACCUCGGGAAACCGGAGCUAAUACCGGAUAAUCCUUUUCUACUCAUGUAGGAAAGCUGAAAGACGGUUUACGCUGUCACUUACAGAUGGGCCCGCGGCGCAUUAGCUAGUUGGUGAGGUAACGGCUCACCAAGGCGACGAUGCGUAGCCGACCUGAGAGGGUGAUCGGCCACACUGGGACUGAGACACGGCCCAGACUCCUACGGGAGGCAGCAGUAGGGAAUCUUCCGCAAUGGACGAAAGUCUGACGGAGCAACGCCGCGUGAGUGAUGAAGGUUUUCGGACCGUAAAACUCUGUUGUUAGGGAAGAACAAGUACGAGAGUAACUGCUCGUACCUUGACGGUACCUAACCAGAAAGCCACGGCUAACUACGUGCCAGCAGCCGCGGUAAUACGUAGGUGGCAAGCGUUGUCCGGAAUUAUUGGGCGUAAAGCGCGCGCAGGCGGUCCUUUAAGUCUGAUGUGAAAGCCCACGGCUCAACCGUGGAGGGUCAUUGGAAACUGGUGGACUUGAGUGCAGAAGAGGAGAGUGGAAUUCCACGUGUAGCGGUGAAAUGCGUAGAGAUGUGGAGGAACACCAGUGGCGAAGGCGACUCUCUGGUCUGUAACUGACGCUGA